AAAGAAAGAAAAGAAAAAAAAAUAGGACGGAGAGCCAGAGAGCAAGGGAUAAAUUUCUCUUAAAGUAUUCAUUCAUUCAUUCAACAAGGGUUUAUUGAGGUCCUCCCUGGAGUCAAGCUCGGUGCUGGCGUUAGAGACAUAGUCAGAAACAAAAUUAACGUGGCCUGUGUUCUCAAGGGUUUCCAGGCUACUGAGGGAGGCCAAGAAGGCAACAAAUUACUCAAUUACAAAUCCGAGUAAGUGCUUCAAGGAUAAAACGUAGAUAAUACAAAGGAGACAGAGGGUGAGGGGCAAGCUUCCUAUAUUUCUGUGGUCAAGGAAGGAGGUCACAUUCAAAACAAGACCUGAGGGCUGUGGAAUCAGUCCUGGAAAAACUUUCUAGGCAGGGAGACUUCUUCGAAGAGACCCGUGUGUUUAAGAAAUUAAGAUAAGUCCUGUGGUGGACUAUGGAGGUGGGGGGUGGGGCAGGGACUGGUUGGGGGAAAUAGAGAAACAGGAAGUAAGAUUGGAGAAGUGAGCAGGAGCAUAGGAAAGGUUUUGGAUUUUAUUCCAAGUGAGGUGAGAAGUACAGGGGGGACAACGCAUAGGGACAACUCCUCCUCCCCGUCUCAGAAACUCGGUGCCAUCACUUCCAGGGUGAAGGGAGGACCGUGUCCUUGAAAAGGAAGAAGGGACGAGUGUUUGGUUUCCUCUGAAACCUCGGAGCUUUUGAAAGAGUGGUGCCUGCUCUGAAUUCUACUGUGUCCGGUGUGGGAGUUAGCAUCCCAGGAUUAGCACUAUUAAUAUAUUCAAAUGGCCUUCAAAGGAGAACUUGAAGAAUGUUUUCAAAGGAAGUUCUGAUGGGAGUAAUUGUGAAACCUUCAGAUAUGACUCAUCUUCCAUUGAACCGGCCUCUGGAGGCUCAGCCAGAGUGACUCAAAGUAAACACGUAUUCACUGAGCUUCUACUCCAUGCCCAGCACCACGAAGGAUGCCGUGGUGGCUGCAAAAGUGUAUGAAGUGCUCCCUGUCCUCAAGGACUUUAAACAGUAGGAUAUUGGGGAUGGCAGAAAGAGCGCAUUCGAACAAUCAGCCACGAUGUGGAUACCCUCCCCGCUGGCCUUUGUCUGACAUAUCACGCUGCGUGCAAAGUGGCCAAGGGCUGAGGACACAGAAGAGUUUGUGAACCGUUAGCGAGGCUUGGCCAGGCAAACAGGUGAGCGAGAAUAUGGAGAUUCUCCUCCCCACGGGAUUGUUCCAGGAGCCCAGGAAUAGAGCGGCCGACGGGGAUGGCCUGUCCGUGCCCAUCCUAUGUUUGCAUCGUUGGCAUCACACUUGUGCAAACGCCGGGGACCCUGGCUGUCAUGGUCCUUUCCCAAGCUUUCAGUUUCUUUGUAGGGGUGGAGGCCUUUCCCCAACGUCAUACCAACCGCGGAAGAGGAAGAAGAGCAAGGCCGCACAAAGCCCGUGUAGAGAAAACUUGGGUGCUUCUGAGGUUGUAGGUCGGCGCGUUAGAGUUCGGAGUCUGGGCCUGUCACCUUGAGAGAGACAUUUGAUCUUAUUCUGUUCAAAUGAGCAAGUUGGACCCAGCGAACUCCAGCCAGUGAUGUCUCACUCCGACUAGGUGAUCUCACUUAUCCCGGAAGCAAGAGGCCCCAGCCCCUCCUGGUGGCAUGCCAUUUUGUCCAAUAAAAUAGAGCCCGUCAGAAAGAUCCCAGCCAUCCUGUGUGAGGCCCCUAAGGCUUUGGCCUUGCCUUUAGUUAAAAAAAAAAAAAGAAAACAAAAACAAAACAAGCCAAUGGUAUGUUCCAGAAUACCGCUGUCUCACACUUUCCCAGUAUCAGUGGGUAAUAGUGGAAUCUGGAGGCAGGACUGACGGACGGGAGAAGGCCCUGCCUUCCUCCCCUGUGAUUUAGGGCUUCAUUCCACAGGCAUGUGCUGGCGUUUGUUUCGUGCCGGGGCAUGGUCACAGACAACAGGCCUUAAAUUCUCAGGAGUUAGCAUAGCCGUGACACAAGACAGGUUGAUUGCCUCAAAUGCUCUCUUAAUCAGCACUCUCAAACUACUUCCUUCUUCCUGGGGGGUCAGGUCUCGGGUCAAAGUGUUGACUUGUUGUGUUUCCGACCAUUCCCAUAGUGGCAUGUUGACGACGCCACCCAGAAGAGGGUGCUUUUUGGCUUACGUUGGGGAUCUCCCAUAAUCGCGUAGCAGACCUGCGGCUACCUGAAGCCUCUCUCCCUUAGGCUUCCCGCUCCAAUGCGGUGUCGGUCAAAGGGCUCAGAUCUUACUUCCAGGUUCCCACAUCACCUACAAUGCCAACCCUUCUGGUGUUCACCAUAGAGAAAAUCAGACCAAAGAGAAAUAACGUGUUAACAACAGUUGAGAUCUUUCUGAUGGGCUCUAUUUUAUUGGACAGAAUGGCGUUCCACCAAGAGCAGCUGGGGUCCCAUGCUUCUAAGACAAGUGGGGCCGUCUGAUUCUUCCCCUUCCCCGUCAGGAAGGAGAAAACUCAGGAGCUGGUUGUCAACAAGGAAGUGAAGUCAUGGUCCAAGGUGCACAGGGUCCCGCAACUUAUCCGUAGAAGCUACAGAAGAUGAGCUCGCUCCAGUUUUAUUCAACUCCAAGGAGUCUUGGAUUCAUCAUCACUCCACCUUGUGCGGCUCAAGAGAUCGUCGUCUCCUCUUCCCAUGUGGUUUUGCCUGGGACAAAGAGAACAAAAGUUGACCCCGGAACAGCCUUAUCUUCAGCCACUCUCUGGGGGAGUUUCCUUAUUUACAUGCAAGCCAUGAUCUUUCAAAUGAUGUUUCACAUGGGACCCCGAUACAGAUGAGAUAAUUGAAGAAGCAGUGGGACUUUCUGAGGACAUGUAGGCCAAUCACUGAGUUCACUUCUUGAAAAAUUAGUCACCUUGUAAGAUUUAAAAAAUAUGUGUAUGUAUAUAUAUAUAUAUGUGUGUAUACACACACACAUACACACACACACACGCAUACAUAUAAACAAGUAGAAAUGAAUAAAAAUCAUUGGCUUUGACAAAUACGUUCAACUAUCUGUGAAAAUAGCUCUUGAUUCUCAGUCCUUUCCACCAUUUAUGUCCAUAUAAUGAUGUGAGCCCAGGUCGUUGAAAAACCAUGUCUCUAAGAAAGAAACAAGAAAUUAUCUAUAACAAGAGAAUUGUCUGAAACAAGAAUUGUCUGAUGGGAACCCGAUCUCCUGUCCUAGCUCUCUUCAAUUCAGUCCCACAGUCCUAAUUUGUCAGUCACAAUGAAACAAUCUGGUGUUCAUUAGCCAGAUUCAGAGGUAAGGAACUUGAGACUUCAAAAGAAAUCUCUCCUCCCAGUAGGCCAGUCUGUAGUCUCCUGGGGAUGUAUCCCCUUUUCUCUGCCAAUCUGGAUGUUUCCAUGUACAGCCUACCAUAUUUUCUAGGAGGCCCUGCCUCAGGCCACUCCAAAGCCAGGGGUUUGAACUCUAAAACCAGGUGUCUCUUCACUACACAACAUUAUUCCCUGGUCCAUGGGUUUUCAACUCUAACAGACUUUCUUCUUUUCUUCAGCCCGGCCAAAGUAAUUCCAUUUCGUAUUUGAGACCCAAAUCACCUCUCACGUUCUCUCAGAAGUGACCCUUGGCUGCUUCUGUCCACACAGACAUUUCUGUUCUUUGAACUUAGAGCUGAUACACAAUUAUAAUGACACUGAAGACACAUUAUCUUGGAUACCUUCUCUAUCUGUCUGUUGCAUUCUUUUCAAAGCUAUACAGUAUCUCUGGCUGAAACGAACAACGCAGGAAACAACACAUGUUGGCGAGGAUGCAGAGAAAGGGGAACCCUCUUACACUGUUGGUGGGAAUGCAACCUGGUGCGGCCACUCUGGAGAACGAUAUGGAGGUUCCUCAAAAAGUUAAAAAUAGAGCUACCCUAUGACCCAGCAAUUGCACUAGUAGGUAUUUACCCAAAGGAUACAAAAACACAGAUUUGAAAGGGCACCUGCACCCCGAAGUUUAUAGCAGCAUUAUCAACAAUAGCCAAACUAUGGAGAGAGCCCAAAUGUCCAUCAACUGAUAAAUGUACACACACACACACACACACACACA